rnacentral:rRNA from 1 species
UACGUAGGGGGGCAAGCGUUGUCCGGAUUUAUUGGGCGUAAAGAGCGUGUAGGCGGCUUGGUAGGUCUUGCGUCAAAACCUGAGGCUCAACCUCAGUUCGCGUGGGAAACCAUCUAGCUAGAGUCCGGAAGAGGAGAACGGAAUUCCCAGUGUAGCGGUGAAAUGCGCGGAUAUUGGGAAGAACACCAGUGGCGAAGGCGGUUCUCUGGGACGGUACUGACGCUGAGACGCGAAAAGCGUGGGGGAGCGAACAGG